AGGGUUGUGGCUCAGAGGGCAGAGUGCUUGCCUAGCAUGCAAGAGGCCCUGAGUUCGAUCCCAGGCACCACAU
rfam:Ictidomys tridecemlineatus contig087991, whole genome shotgun sequence.